AAAUAAGAGGUCACGCCUGCCCAGUGACUAUAUGUUUAACGGCCGCGGUAUUUUGACCGUGCAAAGGUAGCGCAAUCACUUGUCUUUUAAAUGGGGACCUGUAUGAAUGGCAUCACGAGGGCUUAACUGUCUCCUUUCUCAAGCCAAUGAAAUUGAUCUCCCCGUGCAGAAGCGGGGAUAACUACAUAAGACGAGAAGACCCUAUGGAGCUUUAGACACUAAGGCAGCUUAUGUUAAUUAAUCCCGACAAGGAGCUGAACUGAGUGAGUUCUGUCCUAAUGUCUUUGGUUGGGGCGACCCUGGGGAGAUAAAGAACCCCCAUGUGGACUGGAAACAUGUUUUCCAAAACCAAGAGCUUCCGCUCUAAGAAGCAGAAUUUCUGACCGAUCCGGCAAAGCCGAUCAACGGACCGAGUUACCCUAGGGAUAACAGCGCAAUCCCCUUUUAGAGUCCAUAUCGACAAGGGGGUUUACGACCUCGAUGUUGGAUCAGGACAUCCUAAUGGUGCAGCCGCUAUUAAGGGUUCGUUUGUUCAACGAUUAAAGUCCU
rnacentral:rRNA from 1 species